AUUCACCUGACCGAAGCAGUGUCCAAGUUUGUUUGCCUCUAGAAUAGUAAGUCGUAUGUAUUGUAUUAGUCAAAAAUACAUCAGACUAUACACUGCUGUUUGUGGCGAGAAAUUGUUUUAGUGAAUGGUCCAUCAGUCUGUACUCAGCUGUUGUGGUGUAUCACUUGCCAUAAUUAAUACUUGUCCAUAUGGCAAUAAUGUGUGGGUUGCAUGUCUGUUUAACUAAUUUGGUGAGCAAUACCUAAAAGAUAUAUAAGUAAAUUUUUUGAGCAUGUUCUCAGUUGGACAUGUGCACUUGAGGCAAUCUCAAGUGAGGUAGGUUUUACAUUGCAUCUGUGCACGUAACAUUUUAUGUUCUCUGUCAAGGAAAUCAACUUCAAUCGCCAGUAAGCCUUUUUUAGUGAGGUUUAUUGAUUGGGCAUGCGCAAAGGUCUAUGGACAAAACUGCAGAAAGUCUGUCUAUUUAGUUGUUGAUUGACAUGUACAGCCAUUGUUGCUUUAGAAAAGCCAUGACUAAUUAGAGUAGAUUCUAGGUGCUAGUUUUCCAAUGAGACAUGCUCUUUCAGGUCACAUGCACAGAGCAAUAAACUCUGAUCUGGCUUGAAGUGCAAUGUACUUGUGGAGUAAGGCUGCAUUGUAGCAACCUCAAUUUUGUACAACUUGAAACUUCAGCCAGAAAAACUCUGACUCUGCGGUCUGUGCAAUGCAUCUACACACGCAACGUUUUGAUUAUUUUAAUUCAGACGCUAGGAAUACUUCAGUCAGCUUUGCAUUCAGUGCAAAUUAGAGCUUUGAAGUUAUUGCAAUUACUACUGUUUGAAAAAGUCUUCUUUUUCUAAGUGUAUGAAACGCACAUGAGCUAGUGGGACUGUGCUUUUUAAGCUUACAAUAUUAGCUAGUUGUUGAAAAGUCUGCAAUUGUGUGUAGCCGUAUUAGACUGUGCACUUUUAUUAGUAGUUAGAAUAGAGAUGUUUAGUAAAUAUCUGUAGUGCAUUGGGUGAUAUAUGUAACCUAAAGUUUUAGAUUUAGUAAUGCCACAAUAUAUUUUAGUAAUUAUUGUCAUAUUUGAUUGUUCUUUGUACAAGCAGUCACUGUUACAUAUCGACAACGUUCUGGAGCAGCUCCAUCUGCAGUGAAUCGCGAAAGUUUUCCAUCACCUGAUGAUUUACUUCUGGAGUCUUCAAUGAAUUCUGCAGCCACCACAGGACAUUCUAGCAGUGGUAGUGCUAGAACUUCUACACCUGAAUCACCAUCUCCAGCAUCAAUGCUCAAUAGUUCCUUUUUGGCAGCUCCUGUCGCAAGUGACCUAUGUAAGUCAUUUGUUCUUCCAAGUAACUUCUCGCCGGAAGUAGAAGCUGCUCUCAAAGAACAAGCAAUGACUGUUCGAACAACUGCAGCAUUGAUCACUGCAAUUGCUAGGGCUAUGUUUGCUCUGAAGAAGUACCCAACGUCAGAAGAAUAUACUUACGUUGCAUGCUGCAUCGUGGCCAAGUAUCCUUUUCUGAAGUCUCCACUUGGAAAUGGUUAUAGUCAAAUUGUGAUGCGGUUGAAAGAGACUUAAAAUUUUCGCCGGCCUGCAGCAUCUGCUGAAGUUGUUAGUCCUGCUACUGUUUGCUCUUCAGCUUCUGAGCCAAUGAAGAAAAGACGCAAGCAAAGUUGUCGAUGGGACACUCUUCCUCAGGUGCGGAAUGGAGAGGAUGAGUGAUCGUAUAAACGGCAUGUGAAGUCCUUGAAAGCGGAAUGGUUGAAGAGAAACCCAAACAGUGCGUUUGUGGAACAACUGAUGAAGUUAACGUAUCCGCAACGAAGAAGGUGGAUACUGUCUGAGUCACACAUUGCCGCAACAAUACUGGAUCAAUGUCCAUUUUUGGCCAAUGUUGAACAUCUUGGAUGUGAAUUUAGUCGUAUUAUGGCAGAUGAAAAGGACCAGUCAAAUUUCUUGAUGGCACUUUCUGCGAAGUGGUGUGAAUCAUGUUAUAGAAUACUCAAUCAAGGACAACUAGAGGUGAAGGCAGGU